UUAAACUGAAGAGUUUGAUCAUGGCUCAGAUUGAACGCUGGCGGCAGGCCUAACACAUGCAAGUCGAGCGGUAACAGGGGUAGCUUGCUACCCGCUGACGAGCGGCGGACGGGUGAGUAAUG
rnacentral:rRNA from 1 species